rnacentral:rRNA from 1 species
UACGUAGGUCCCGAGCGUUGUCCGGAUUUAUUGGGUGUAAAGCGAGCGCAGGUGGUUUAUUAAGUCUGGUGUUAAAGGCUGUGGCUCAACCAUAGUAUGCUUUGGAAACUGUUCAACUUGAGUGCAGAAGGGGAGAGUGGAAUUCCAUGUGUAGCGGUGGAAUGCGUAGAUAUAUGGAGGAACACCGGUGGCGAAAGCGGCUCUCUGGCCUGUAACUGACACUGAGGCUCGAAAGCGUGGGGAGCAAACAGG